CUUCGGGGUGCAGCAGGCGCGAAACCUUAGCAAUGUGCGAAAGCACGACUGGGUCAGUCCGAGUGAUUCCUGAUAAAGGAGUCUUUUACUUGUCCUAAAAGCACAGGUGAAUAAGGGGUGGGCAAGUCUGGUGUCAGCCGCCGCGGUAAUACCAGCACCUCGAGUGGUCAGGACGUUUAUUGGGCCUAAAGCAUCCGUAGCCGGCUUUGCAAGUCUUCGGUUAAAUCCACCUGCUCAACAGAUGGGCCGCUGGAGAUACUACAAAGCUAGGGAGUGGGAGAGGCAGACGGUAUUCAGUGGGUAGGGGUAAAAUCCUCUGAUCCAUUGAGGACCACCAGUGGCGAAGGCGGUCUGCCAGAACACGUUCGACGGUGAGGGAUGAAAGCUGGGGGAGCAAACCGGAUUAGAUACCCGGGUAGUCCCAGCUGUAAACGAUGCAAACUCGGUGAUGCAUUGGCUUACGGCCAAUGCAGUGCCGCAGGGAAGCCGUUAAGUUUGCCGCCUGGGAAGUACGGACGCAAGUCUGAAACUUAAAGGAAUUGGCGGGGGAGCAC
rnacentral:rRNA from 1 species